AGAAGCAUCGAAUAGUAGUUGCAGAGUGGCGAGACUAGCCAGUAUUGAUCCGAUUCUCCCCUUUCGACCCCACCCAACAUUCAACCAACCCAAAUCCACCCUGACUCGUCGUUUCAUUCUGUCUCUUCGCCACACCCGCUAAAAAAAUAGUACGUAUCCUCUGGGAAAUUUUUCAGCAUUGCAUGCAUCAACUCUCAACGUGUCGACGAGUGUCAAACCAGAAACUGGAAUUUCGAAAUUUUUUUUCUAAAUAAACGAAAGUGCAAAGUAUUGAAACGUAUUUCACAGGAUGGACUGGGGAAUUUGAAAUUUCCUCCUGAAAAAUGUUUUUCAUUGUUCCCGGCAAUUUCUUUUUUUUUUUUGUUCAACAGCGAGGGGCGAGAGAAAUCGAUUAAAGAGAAACAUCUUCUGCAGACAAGCCCGACAAUUGCCGACAAGAGGUUAUGAUCAAAUUAGCAGUGUAUAGGAGUGUGUGAGAAAGUUUAAGGGGGGAUUUCGCCACUGAUUGCCAAAGAUUACAAUUCUAGCCCUGAGAAAUGAAAAAAUAAUUCGACUAACAAAAAGUCACAUAUGAGAUGAAGUUUACAUGAGUUUUCCUUGAGUUUCGGCAGCGAAAUAAUUGAGCGAUUGCUUGUUUCAUCUACGGAGAACAAAGAUUUGAAAUAAUUAAAAAAAAAAGUUGUCCACGGGGUGUAGCUGGAGGAAGAAGGGUGGAAAAAACCAUUGCAGAGAAUAAGAGAGAUGUGAAUUUUGCUGACAAAGGUUUCUUAUCUGAACUCCCAUGGGCCUUUGCACAACGCAAAAUGGCCCCUUUGUCGUGGCAGCUGGUGAACAGGUGUGUGUAGGGGAUAAAAAAAAACUUUAAAAGGGGAAGACCCCUCGUCAGCUGUUACUUGAGUGAACACAUACUGAGAGUGAACAGAGGAGUAUUGCUCGUGAAAUCUGGAAGGAGUUAUAUACCCUAGGCCAUGGACAUGCGUGCAGACAUUUAAAAGGGGCAUCAGAGAAGCUCCAGUCCAGAACAAUGAACAAUCGUACAUUGUUACGAGUUAUGGCAUUGUUACUACACCAUUGGCCAGGACCGUGUUCACAUAAUUAGGCUGUAAACGUUUUCCAGACAAUCACCAUUGUUUUCACUGGUAGACCGCCCUGGUGACUAUUUCGCCCCACCUUGGGAUUAUCCAAACGUUAAAUUCUCGUUUGAGCACAUCCCUGACAAUUUUUAACCCUCAAGACAAGCUCCUAUCCUUAAAAAAUCGAAAAAUUCAACGGAAAUCUGGAAACUUUUGUGCAUUUUUCGGUUAAGAUCCUAAUCCUCUUCCCUUUAGAUAUCUUAAUUUACAUUCUCAGAGUACAAUGGAAUCCCCACCUCCAACCCAAUGUAUACGGAGAGAACAAUUUUGAGAUGAGAUAACAAAACGAGCAACUGGGGAAAAGAAAGGAAAAAAAUUCUCUUUCGGGAUUUCUCUGCACUCUAUCGUCGUUUUAUCGUAUUCCCAGACGUUUUAAAUUUUCGUUGGGUAAUCGUAAAACCGCGCCACAUUUACGUGAAAGAUAAGGAAUAAGAGGGAAGAGAAGCUUAUAGACGAGAGCCGGAAGAGAAUAGUAAAUCAGAACAAACGAGAAAAUCUUGAGACUUACUAAAUUGAAAAACUGAUGAUACUGUUUGAUAACCGAGGAAUAAUGAGAUAGAAAACUCAAUACAAUCGAAGCCUUUUUGCGAAACAUCGAAAUAAAAAUUGAGAAAAAUCAACUCUUUAAAACAGCCCCCUUGGAUUUGUAAAUUAUUUAAAUAGCUGACGAAUACACCUUUCCCUCAUUAGUACACGUGUCCAUUGUCAUUUUACGCUCGUGGACGAGUUAACGAGCCGGUGAUCCCCAUCUCCCUUUUUUCAUCCUCGCUUUUCAUGUUUUUUUCCGUUUUUAAUACACACUAGUGACUAUUCAUUAUGCUAAGUAACACUCCCCCCUUUUUUGUUGAUUUUUUUUUCCAUUGGCAUUUUUUUCUCUUUCUCGGCAGUUUCGUCUAGGUAAUCUUAAACCCAAUGCGUUUAUCCCUCAGAUAAAAGACAAGAAUGAAAGACGAAUGAUAAUAGAUACGAGAGACAGAACGAAACGGGGGGCUUCUCUCACUUAAAAUGAGAUAUAAAACAAAAACAUUUGAUAAGGAAUAAUGAGGAAGGCAAUUUCCACAUUUAUUUUCAUUAUGUAAAGAGGCACUGUAAUGAACCGUUGGAAUUA